GAUGAACGCUGGCGGCGUGCCUAAUACAUGCAAGUCGAGCGGAAGGACGAGAAGUUGGCGGCGCUGAUGAUAGCGGAGGGGGGGAGAAAAACGCGGGGAUACCGUACCUAAAAGAGGGGGAUAACUGCGAGAAAGGGGAGCUAAUAGCGGAGGAUAUUUUGAAGGGCGGGGUUGAGAAGAGAAAGACGGUGUUGGUGGAGCUUAUAGCUGGAUACGCGCUGCAUUAGCUAGUUGGUAAGGUAACGGCCUACGAAGGCGACGAUGCAUAGCCGACCUGAGCGGCUGGUCGCCCACAUUGGAGCGGGGACACCGUCCAUACUCCUGCGGUACGCCGCAGUCUGCAAUCUUCCGCAGUGGUCGAAAGCCUGACGCAGCAGCGCCGCGUGAGUUAUGAAGGUCCUCGGUUCGUAAUGCCCUCUUAUUAGUUGAGAACAUAUUUCUAAGUAACUGUACCCAUCUUGACGGUACCUAAUCAGAAAGCCCCGGCUAACUACGUG
rnacentral:rRNA from 1 species